CCCGCGGCCCCGCGCGCGCCCCCGGCGGCGGCGGCGGGUCCAGGAUUCCAUAUUUAGGAGUUGCUGUUUAACCAUGUUUGCCAGUCUGGAAUUACCUGAAGUUCUGUCGCACACCCCAAAAUACUGAAGUUGUGAAAUUUGUUUUGAUCAAUUGAAAUACUUCUCAAGUCACCUGCAACGUGAUUCUGCCAGGAACCUUCUGUUUGUCCUCGUGGAGAAACAGCUUGGACACUGCCAUGGCCACCAUUGUCAGCCUCACACAGUUGGUCUCACAGGGCCCAACACUGAGUCAUCAGCAUCACCUUGACAUCUGACAGGCUCCCAUUGUUGGAAACAAUGGUUUUGGAUGAUCUACCCAACUUAAAAGAUACAUAUGCCUCCUUGUACUCCUCAGCUAUGGAAGACUUAGAGGUGGAUUUUGAUUCAGGACUGGAGGAAGAUGAACUGAAACAGGAGGCUGCUCCUGGGGAUUCCACGAUCUUUGUAGCUUUUAAAGGAAAUAUAAGUGACAGAGACUUUGAGCAGAAGCUGGAUACCAUACUGGAGAAUGUGCCUAGCCUUUUACACAUGGAAUCUGACAAAUUGAAAGUGCAGAAGAUAGAGCCUUGGAACAGCGUUCGUGUCACCUUCAACAUCCCCCGGGAAGCUGCUGAGCGGCUGCGAAUCCUGGCUCAGAACAACAACCAGCAGCUCCGAGAUCUGGGCAUUCUCUCUGUUCAGAUUGAAGGGGAAGGUGCUAUCAACUUGGCUUUAGCCCAGAGCAGGAGCCAGGAUGUGCGGAUCAACGGGCCCCUGGGAGCGAGCACCGCCAUGCGCAUGGACACGGGAUUCCCCAUGCAGGGGGGACAAGGUUUAAUAAGAAUGAGCAGUGCUGCAGCUGUUAUGAUGGCCCAGGGUGGAAAUGUGCCCUCCUCUAUGGUGGCAAGUGGUGCUAGUGCUGAGCUGCAGCCACGAACACCUCGGCCUUCCUCACAGCCAGAUGCAAUGGACCCACUCUUAUCUGGGCUAAAUAUACAGCAACAAAAUCAUCCAUCUGGAUCUUUAGCUCCCCAGCUGCAUUCAAUGCAGUCAGUUCCUGUAAACAGGCAGAUGAACUCAGUCAACUUUCAGCAGCUACAGCAGCAGCAGCAGUUGCAGAAUCGGCCUCCCCAGCCACAUCAGCAGCCACAGCAGGGUAUCCGACCUUCAUUCACUUCACCAGCACAGGUUCCAGUUCCACCUGGCUGGAACCAGCUUCCUUCUGGAGCACUUCAGCCUCCUCCAACCCAGGGAGCACUGGGUACAUUGACAGUAAACCAGGGUUGGAAAAAGGCCCCAUUGCCUGGACAAAUGCAGCAGCAGCUUCAAGCAAGACCAUCUCUAGCAACAGUACAAACUCCUACUCAUCCUCCACCUCCAUAUCCUUUUGGAAGCCAGCAAGCUUCCCAGGCUCACUCAAACUUUCCCCAGAUGAGCAAUCCUGGCCAGUUCACUGCUCCUCAAAUGAAAAGCCUUCAGGGAGGGCCCUCACGGGUUCCUACACCACUACAACAGCCCCACCUGACCAACAAGUCUCCUGCUUCUUCUCCCUCCUCCUUCCAGCAGGGCUCUCCUGCCUCAUCUCCAACUGUUAACCAGACGCAGCAGCAGCUGGGACCAAGGCCUCCCCAGAAUAGCACUCUUCCCCAGGGAUUCCAGCAGCCUGUCAGUUCUCCUAGUCGUAAUCCUAUGGUGCAACAGGGGAAUUUACCCCCCAACUUCAUGGUGAUGCAGCAGCAAAACCAAGGUCCACAAGGUUUACAUCCUGGUUUAGGAGGAAUGCCCAAGCGGCUCCCCCCGGGCUUCCCUGCAGGCCAGGCUAACCAGAACUUCCUGCAAGGUCAGGUGCCCUCCACAGCUCCAGGAACAGCAGGCAACAGCGGAGCACCACAGCUGCAAACCAGCCAGAACGUGCAGCACACAGGUGGACAAGGAUCUGGACCUCCUCAAACUCAGCUGCAAGCAGCGCAUGGCCCACCAAAUAUGAUGCAGACCAAUCUAAUGGGACUUCAUGGAAAUAUGAACAACCAGCAGGCUGGUGCUAGUGGAGUGCCACAGGUUAACAUGGGCAACAUGCAGGGACAGCCUCAGCAAGGACCACAGUCCCAGCUUAUGGGGAUGCAUCAGCAAAUCGUGUCCUCUCAAGGACAGAUGGUGAACAUUCAGGCUCAGGGAUCGCUGAACCCUCAAAACCAGAUGAUACUUUCUCGAACUCAGCUCAUGCCGCAAGGCCAAAUGAUGGUGACACCUCAGAACCAAAAUCUUGGUCCCUCUCCCCAGAGGAUGACCCCACCCAAACAGAUGAUUCCCCAGCAGGGACAGCAGAUGAUGUCCACACACAAUCAGAUGAUGGGACCUCAGGGCCAGGUCAUGCUACAGCAAAACUCAAUGAUGGAACAGAUGAUGACCACUCAGAUGCAAGGAAAUAAACAGCCUUUUAAUACUCAAAACCAGUCCAAUGUUAUGACGGGGCCAGCUCAACUGAUGAGAGGACCAACCCCAAACAUGCAAGGAAACAUGGUGCAGUUCACUGGGCAGAUGAUGGCACAGCAAGGCCCUGUGAAUGGGAAUCCUUCUCAGGUGAUGGGAAUUCAAGGGCAAGUUUUAAGACCCACUGGACCUGGUCCUCACAUCUCUCAGCAACUUGGGGAUACUGCGACCACAACGAACAAUGAUGGGAACUUGACACAGAUGUUACCUGAGGUUCCUGUGCAGCAGCCAAACAUGGUGCCUUCUCAUAUGCAAGGAAUGCAAGGAAAUAACAAUGCUUCAGGGAGUCAUUUCUCUGGCCAUGGGCUGCCUUUCAAUACAGGGUUUAGUGGAACUCCCAAUGGGAAUCAGGUUUCCUGUGGGCAGAACCCUGUGUUUCCUGUCAAUAAAGAUGUGACGCUCACAAGUCCCCUCUUGGUUAACCUACUCCAGAGUGAUAUCUCAGCAGGGCACUUUGGUGUGAACAACAAACAGAAUAACCAGAAUGCCAACAAGCCAAAGAAGAAGAAGCCUCCAAGGAAGAAGAAAAAUAAUCAACAGCUAGAACAAACAACUUCUUCAGAAUCACGUCCAGCUGGCCUGGAGGAGAGUGAUCAGUCGUCGAUGUCUGGAGACCAAGGAAUGAAUUUAGAUAAGUCAGGCCCUAAACUCUCAGAUUUUACAAGUAGGCCACCAGGUUAUCCAUCUCAGCCAGUGGAGCAAAGGCCACUUCAGCAGAUGCCACCUCAGCUCAUGCCACACACACAGCAGCCCCAGCCCCAGCCACAGCAGCAGCCCCAGGCAGCCUCACAGCAGGGCCAGGCACCCCCCCAGACACCACAGCAGCAGCAGAUGAUGAUGAUGCUGAUGAUGCAGCAGGAUCCCAAAUCAGUCAGGCUGCCUGUGCCCCAGGGGGUUCACGCCGCCAGGGGGCCCCUGAACCCAGAUGCCCAGCGGAUGCCGAUGCAGCAGAGCGGGAACAUGCCAGUGAUGGUGAACCUCCAGGGGCCUGGGCCUGUACCUCCAUCUCCUGACAAACAGAGGAUGGCCCUGCCAGGCAAUCCUCCCCUGGGAAAUAAUGCAAGAAAAAUGGUUUAUCCAGAUAACGUACAGAAUCCUUCCAGCUCACCCCUCAGAGAGGUGUCAUCAGUAUCCUCUCUUCCAGAAGGAGGUGGAGCUGAGGGCCCUCCAGCAUCAGGAGCUCAGAAUAAUGUGACAUCUCAUUUAGUAGUUUCACAGAACCAGUUAAUGAUGACAGGAUCUAAGCCUGGACCAUCCCCACUUUCAGCUGCCCAAGGUGCAAGUCCCCAGCAGCAGUCUAGUUCUCUGUCUAGUGCUCUUACACACCAUUUUCCAAAUGUUGCUACCCCAUCACAAACUUCAAGGCCUAAAACCCCAAACAGAGCUAGCCCAAGGCCAUAUUACCCUCAGACUCCUAAUAACCGUCCACCCAGCACAGAACCCUCAGAAAUUAGCCUGUCUCCAGAGAGGCUCAAUGCUUCUAUUGCUGGUCUGUUCCCUCCCCAGAUCAAUAUUCCUUUACCUCCCAGGCCUAAUCUCAAUAGAGGAUUUGAUCAGCAGGGUCUGAAUCCCACUACUUUAAAGGCCAUUGGACAAGCCCCAUCAAAUCUCACAAUUAACAAUCAGUCCAGUUUUACUGCCUCACAGUCACACAAGUUGGAAGGUGUGGUCAUUAAUUCGGGCAAACAAACCAAUGCUGGAGGAACAAAGAGAGCAAGCCCAAGCAAUAGUCGAAGGUCCAGUCCUGGAUCCAGUAGGAAAACUACACCAAGCCCUGGCAGACAGAAUUCAAAAGCAGCUAAAUUAUCACUGACAACUCAGCAGAAUCCAUCUCUCUUGCAGAACAUGGAAUUACAGAGAAAUGUGAUGGCCAGUUCCUCUUCUUUGCCAACACCCGUGACCACAAGUUUUCAAACUAACUCCAUGCUAAAUAACCAGAGUCCUGCAGUUUCUGCACCUGCUGUCACUGGCAUUCCUGAAGACAAUAAGGAGAGCCUUAGUGCGCCUCAAGAUACAGAGAGUCAAAGUGCACAAGGUGUCCAAGGUAGCAAGGACCAGCCCAGUAUGGAACUGAAAGGUGUCCCUACUUCAGAAAUGAAAGUGCUGGUUCCUGAGGAACAGGCAAAAAAAGAUGGGCAAGCCUUAGAUAGCAGUAAGCUCCCAGUCGUGGAGGAAAGUAAAGCCAUGGUAUCUCCAGCUAUGAGAGAGGCACCAACUUCUCUAAGUCAACUUCUUGACAAUUCUGGAGCUCCUAAUGUGACCAUUAAGCCCCCUGGGCUGACUGGUCUUGAAAUGGCACCAGUAGUCCCCACUGGUGAGGAGCUAAAGAAGAUAACUGUCAUUCCUCCACUGCAGGAUUCAUCCUUGAACAAGGAGCCAUCUAAUUCACUUAGCCUGCCUCAAAAUAAUGAGCCCUGUCCAAAUCCAGGGCACCAGGAACUGGGAGAAGUAAAUGCAAGCGUGGCACAGACUGUUCCUCCAGUAAUGCAGAGGCCUGCUAGCUCUUCUAUUUCAGGUCCUUUACCCCCCAACCAGAUAACAGUUUUUGUGACUUCCAACCCUAUUACAUCUGCUGCUAAUACAUCAGCUCCGUUGCCAUCCCACUUGCAAUCUGCAUUAGUGUCCACUGUUGUCACCAUGCCCAACGUGGGGAGCAAAGUGAUGGUUUCAGAGGGACAGUCUGCAGCUCAGUCCAACGCCCGGCCACAGUUCAUCACACCUGUGUUUAUAAACUCAUCUUCAAUCAUCCAAGUGAUGAAGGGCUCUCAGUCCAGCACAAUUCCAGCAGCCCCCAUGACUUCUAACUCGAGCCUGAUGCCUCAGUCAGUCGCAGUUGUUGGUCCUUUGCAUAUCCCACAGAAUAUCAAGUUUUCCUCUGGGCCCACUCCUCCCAGCACCUCAUCCACCAGUCCUGUGUCCAGUGUUCCCACCAGCAGAUCAAUUGUUCUGAAUCCCUUGGCAUCUCCUGUCCAACUGCCUUCUUCCACUCCAGCUCCUUCCAGUGUUCCUUCCCAGCUUCCUGCUCAGCAAGCCAAGGACUUCAGCCCAGAGGAGACUUCCCAAGGCACUGGGCCGGGUGAGCAGUGCCCUGUGCCAGCAGCCCAGUCGGGACCUGUUGUUUCCCCUCUGCUUACAAGCAGCCCGGGAUCUGGGAACAGACGCAGUCCUGUUUCAUCCAGCAAGGGAAAGGGAAAGGUAGACAAGAUUGGCCAGCUCCUGCUGACUAAAGCUUGCAAGAAGGUCACUGGCUCCCUAGAGAAAGGGGAAGAGCAGUAUGCUUUGGAUGGAGAAACAGAAGGUCAGGGACUAGAAACGCCGGUUCCAAAUAGUUUGGGAACAGAGCAAUCACCAGCAGAACUCGAUAACAAAAGCGGGACACCUCCAGCACCCAGUCUUACAAAACAGAACACUUCUGGGCCCGGCAGCUCGAGCCUCAGCCCCGCGGCGGCCGCUCCCUCCUGCGCGUCCCCGGGCGCGGCCCCUCCGGCCGGAGCUCUCCCGGCAGCCGCGGAGCCCGGCUCCGGCAACAGCGGCAGCGGCAGCACCCCCGGCGGGGGCCCGGAGCCGAGCGGCAGCGCAGGGCCCGAGGAGAAGCCCGCAGCACCCCCGGAGCUGCUGCAGAGCGCAGGGAAAUUGCUGAAUAACCUCCAGAACAGAAGAAGAAAACAACCCACACCAAACCCCAGGUUGCCUAGGGAGAAACAUAAAUGCUCAUUUCAGAGAAAUUAAUGAAAAAGUUAACUGCAUUCAGUUUGCAAACAUCUGAGCUUUGCUGUUUUAAUUUGAGCAUCUGGCAGACUUGAUAUACGACAUUGAUGCUAUUUCUUCAUGCCAAUUCUAAUUUAUUGAAUCUGGUGUGGAUAUAAACCUUUCACUCUUGAAGUGAGCUGAGUAUUAUGCUUUUCAACAUGAAUUCGUCACAGAAGAUAAAAUCAUGGAUGAUAAAAUCCACAGAAAUCAGGGGAAUUGGCUGAAAACUUCAGCCUCAGUGUGACUUUCCCUCUGGCUGUUGGAUGUUGUAGCUGUAUGCCACUGGAAAAUGGAAGCUUCCUUUGAGCUUCACAGAAGGAAUUCUGGCUUUCUAGGAAGCGAUAGUCUUUAAGCAGGAAUGUUAAACUUUCUGUCUUCCUGUUCUGUGUUAAGUUCACUAUCACAAAGAAGGCUAGAAAGCACUAGCCCAAUAAAAAUUAUUUUCCCAUCUGAUUUUUUUACUUGGCAACCUAAAGUCAUCACCUUACUGCCAAAGGCUUUCAAGGCCAACUCUGGAUCAUAUUGUGCACUUUAAUUGAAAGAGUGAGGGCACUGAUUCAUUAAAAAUAUACUAUUUUCCCCCAGAAUCUCUGUUGAGAUGAACAAUAAAAAAAGGAAAGUAAUUAUUGAAAUGCUAGGAUUUCCUUUAAUGUUACACUCUGCUGAAAAACUGUUACCUUUAAAAAUGUUGUUUAUACUUCAUUUCAUCACUCAUUCUAGUUUGAGAAAACUUGCUUGGGAUAGUUUUGUCAAAGUUUGUUUUAAGGGGGAGGUGUGUGUGGUGGGAGGGAAAUAGAGGGUAGAUUAAAAAUAUUGCAUCUGUAAAGGGCAAAGUGCAGUCACCUGGGAGAGAGAGCAUUUUGUACCAGUCUGAUCACACAACAGGAACUCCUUUACUCCUUUUGACAAUAAUGUUUUUUUUCCUCCACUUUUAUUCUAGCAUCCUCUCAACAUUUAACACAGAAAAAAAGUUCAGUUGCAACAUCAGAAAGUACUGUUCAAAGAACAGAACUUGAGACAAAUGCUGCAGUAGUUGCUG